AUAAAUUCAUUAGUUUGAAUUAUUAAAGAUGCAGCAGACGCAAGGUAACUUCUUCUUCUUCUUUUGUUGUCUUUCUUUUCUUUUGCAUUAACGCGGCAAUACCUCCUUCUUCUUUUUCUUCUUUUUUCCAGAUUUUUGGUUUAGAGGAUUAAGGGAUUGCUUACUUCCCUGUUUUCGGCGGGUGGUGGCAGGAAAUUUUUGUUAGGUAAUAGAUAUAUAUUUGUACUGUAGAAACUUUUAUAACAUAAAUUAAUGAGUUCGAUUCUAUUGAUGGACGCUGCUUGCUUUUUUUUUCCUAUGUUUCUUUAUGAAAUUCUUAGAGGCUCUUAUUGUUCUCUGUCACUGCAAUGCAAUCUUGAUGAGGGUUUGACAUGAAAUCUAAUGUUUGUAUCUAAUUCUUGAAAUCAUGAAAGCUUCCAAAAAGUGGGACCUAAUGAAGCCUUCUGGAUAUGAAAUUUUUAGGAUAUAGUAUCUAGCUCAUAUUUCUUGGAUGUUUUACUUAAUAAACUAAAUCAUCUACGUGAGCUAUGUUCUGUAAGUAAUCAAUAUGUGAAUUGUGCUGCUGCCUGCAGUUUGAUAGUAUACUUGCUUCGUCUUCAUUAUUUUUCCUGAUUUGGGAAGGUCUUUGUGAUUGUACUUUUUGAAUUUUAUAUGUUACUUAUAACGGCUUUUUGAAUUAAUCUACAUGAAUAUUUGAUUUUUCAAAUUUUUGAUUUAGAUUUUGUUAAUUAACUCUAUGUGAUUGCUUUACUUCCCUGUUUUGGUUUAGAUUUUUGGCUAGAAGUAAGCGAUUGCUUUACUUCUCUGUUUUGCCGUGGCUGAGAUCUCUGAGCACAUCACCAACAAGGUCUCCGAGCACUACAUGAAAAGGUAAAUGCUUGCUGCCACAAUAAUGUUCCUUUGACUAAUAGUGUUUUUAGUUCACUAGCGGGCUGGCUAAUUGAGUGUUCUUUCAUACUUUGCACCUAAUUAUGUGAUUUGUGAAAAUUUCUCAAUCUUUUGUGACAAUUGCACUAUGAAUGGUGACAAUAGCGAAUGAUUUAAAAUGAUGUUUCCACGCAUAUUUAUGUGGAGUAGUGAUUUGAGGAAUAUAUUAUAUCUUUAUAUGCUAUAAUUCAUGAGUUUAUUUGUAUGGUGAUGCUAAUAUGUAGUAAGGUGAUGUAUUUGAGCUCUACAUCUCUUUAUUUAGCCAAGCUAUGAGUUUUGUUUAGUUGAAGCAAGACAUGCCCUGCUGUCAAUUCUUGGCUGGACUGGACAGAGUGUUGCGGGAUACUUUUGGGGGUGUUCCCGUGGUUCAAAUCAGUUGAAAUUUUUACAGUAAUAACUUCAUUACGAGUAGUAAAUAUCUGCAAAAUUUCAGCUAAAUCCGAGACCCUUAGAUAUGUCAAAUAAUUUUCUGAAAAGUACUGCACGAAGCAACGAAGUUCAGUGGCAGAUUCUGCCUUUUGUGAUAUAAUUUCCUAUACACUUGAUAUAUGGUAUUUUUGUAACUUUCUACUAAAGAUAGACUUUAAUAGCUUUCUAAAAAGGUAAAUCUUGCAUUUUUCUUUGAAGUAAUUGAUUUUAUAUGAUUUUUCAAAGUUAGAAUUCAAAUGUAUAUGGUUCUUAAACUUGCGAGUGAUAAUUAGUUGAAAUUCUAAACUACUAAACUUGGAUUGAGUGUUUAUUUUCUUUUAACUUUUAUUUUAUUCUCACUUUAUUGUGCAUUAGAUUCUUUUGGAAUUAAUCGAGUGAGAUAUAAUGCAAUGUUUUGGUUUUCUGAACCUCUUGGAUUUUUUUUUGUUAGAUAACCAGCAGCCAUAUUUAGAGUACAAGGGGAUCAUAAGGUGGAGACUUUCUAUCUAAUUGCUGAAAAUUAGAUUUAAGUGAAACGAGUUCUCAAUUUCGCAUGUAAUGAAAUGCAAUUGUAGUAGGUUUUGUACUCUAAUUUUGGUUUAUAAAUCAACUUUUCUAAUUUUAGUGAUUUGGAAUACUUCCUUUUGAUUUACCUAUAUCUCUUUGUCUUAUUGUUAUUUCAGAAGGAGCUAUGUGUAUGACCCGGAAUGGAACAACUUUGCCUAAUAAGGAAUCUUUUGUAUGGGUUUAUUAGGCUUUUUCAACAUCAUUCAAAACCCCAUACAGUGUUAGCCGGACAACUGGAGGAGUCUCACAUUUGUUUGCAAACGCUGCAAACAAAUGAAUCAUUUCUCUGUCUUUCUUAAUUUUGUUAACUUUUGAUUUUGUCAACUCAAAACUAUAAUUUGCAAUACAUAAUUUAUAAUCACAUAUGGGGUGACAGGAAGGCACGAGCUAACAUGUGACUUCAAAGAAUUCAUAUUCGAACUCUUAGUAGCAUGGAUUAUUACGUUUAGCAUUAUUUAGACAAUAUUAUUUUAUAAAAUAUUUUUAUAAUUUGUUUGAAUAAAAAUUAUUAUCUAUCAUUGUUUGACAUAUAAUAUAGACAUUUUCUAUUAUAAGUUUGACCUCUCAUAUUAACACUUAUUUUUUUGAAAAAUAUCUAUAAUUUAUAUAUAUAUUAUAUGAAAUAAUUUUACGUUCUUUUUUUCUUAUAAAUUAUAACAUUAAAUGAUUUUC
rnacentral:lncRNA from 1 species